UACGUAGGGAGCAAGCGUUGUUCGGAUUUACUGGGCGUAAAGGGCGCGUAGGCGGCGCGGUAAGUCACUUGUGAAAUCUCUGAGCUUAACUCAGAAUGGCCAAGUGAUACUGCAGUGCUAGAGUGCAGAAGGGGCAAUCGGAAUUCUUGGUGUAGCGGUGAAAUGCGUAGAUAUCAAGAGGAACACCUGAGGUGAAGACGGGUUGCUGGGCUGACACUGACGCUGAGGCGCGAAAGCCAGGGGAGCAAACGGG
rnacentral:rRNA from 1 species